UACGGAAGGGGCAAGCGUUGUUCGGAAUCAUUGGGCGUAAAGGGCGUGUAGGUGGUUCUGUAUGUCUACCGUGAAAGCGUACGGCUCAACCGUAUUUAGUCGGUAGAAACUGCAGGACUUGAGGCUGGGAGGGGCUGGUGGAAUUCCCCGUGUAGCGGUGAAAUGCGUAGAGAUGGGGGAGAACACUCGUGGCGAAGGCGGCCAGCUAGACCAGUUCUGACGCUGAGGCGCGAUAGCGUGGGGAGCAAACAGG
rnacentral:rRNA from 1 species